UACGUAGGGGGCAAGCGUUGUCCGGAAUCAUUGGGCGUAAAGAGCGUGUAGGCGGCUUGGUAAGUCCGCUGUGAAAGUCCAGGGCUCAACCCUGGAAUGCCGGUGGAAACUGUCAAGCUUGAGUCCGGAAGAGGCGAGUGGAAUUCCUGGUGUAGCGGUGAAAUGCGCAGAUAUCAGGAGGAACACCAAUGGCGAAGGCAGCUCGCUGGGACGGUACUGACGCUGAGACGCGAAAGCGUGGGGAGCAAACAGG
rnacentral:rRNA from 1 species